AUUGAACGCUGGCGGCAUGCCUUACACAUGCAAGUCGAACGGCAGCACGGGAGCAAUCCUGGUGGCGAGUGGCGAACGGGUGAGUAAAGUAUCGGAACGUGCCCAGUCGUGGGGGAUAACGUAGCGAAAGUUACGCUAAUACCGCAUACGAUCUAUGGAUGAAAGCGGGGGAUCGCAACACCUCGCCCGAUCGGAGCGGCCGAUAUCAGAUUAGGUAGUUGGUGGGGUAAAGGCUCACCAAGGCGACGAUCGGUAGCUGGUCUGAGAGGACGACCAGCCGCACUGGGACUGAGACACGGCCCAGACUCCUACGGGAGGCAGCAGUGGGGAAUUUUGGACAAUGGGCGAAAGCCUGAUCCAGCCAUGCCGCGUGCAGGAUGAAGGCCUUCGGGUUGUAAACUGCUUUUGUACGGAACGAAAAGGUUUGGGCUAAUAAGCUGAGCUCAUGACGGUACCGUAAGAAUAAGCACCGGCUAACUACGUGCCAGCCGCCGCCGUAA
rnacentral:rRNA from 1 species